AUCCUUCAAUUGUGAAACCGCCUAAUUUUUUCUUCAUAUGGAAACCCCAAUAAUUCUCACCAUCUUCUCCUAUUUCACACGCCUCUUCCUUCCACAAUAUGAUUCACAAACCCUAAUUCAUCAAUCGCCAUUCUUUUCCUCCCUAGGUUUCUUCCUCUCUGCCAGUUUGUUCUUCAUUAAUCGCAGCUCUUUUCCUCCCAGCAGUUCCUCCAUAACAACGAUAGUUACUUAAUUUCGUCCCGAUUUGUUCUCCUAUUCUGGUGUUUGGCAUCCAGGGUGGAAUCAACAAAAAGAUCAUCACUGAUACAGAUCCGACAUCGGUAUCUUCUGAUUUGGUGUGCAUAACCUUCAACUUUAACGCUUUAAGGUAAUAUUGAUUUUAAUUUUUGAAUUUUGUUACUAAAUUGCUUAUCAUCACCAAAAUUUGAAGAAGUGGGUUGACAAUUUUGAAACUUUUUUACUCCUUGAAGAAUCACAGAUAUGUACACGGAGAAAACACAAUGACAGUUCCGGAAAGAACAAAUUAAGUCACCAGAAGUUAAGCACACGAGUGUGUAAAGGAACUCAAUAACUUAUGGUCAAAGAUUCAAGAAACAGGGCUCGCUGAAAAAAAGUUUUUAAGGUUAGUGAUUUAAAAGUCCUUAUUUCUCAUAUGGAAUCUUUGUUUAACUGUUUUAACUGUUAUAUUGCAAGAUGCUAGACUUGCUGUAGUAGUUAUGAUAUAAUAGUGUGUUUUGAUAUAAUAUUGUAUUAAAAUAAUUCAGUUAUAUUAACAAUCUAGACUUACUGUAUUAGUUAUGAUAUAAUACCGUGUUUUCUUGUGUUUUCUUUUCUAAAUCAAUGUGGAAUUUAGGGCCUUUAACUUAUGAAACAAUAGUAGCUUUCUUAUCAGCUGUAGUUUCAGAUGUAUGUUUCCUUUGUUAUUAUUCUUUCCACUUUCAGGUGAUAGAUCUGAAACUGAAUGAAUCUGUUCGCUGCGUUUAAUCUAAAACUGACCUUUUAAUGAAUAUCUAGAUUCUUUAUGUCAAUUUAAGGUGGACAUCAGAUGCGUUAUGUCAAUUUAAGGUGGACAUCAGAUGCUUUUUUAAUCAAGCUGUCUGCUACUAACCUCUGUUUUUGCUAUUUAUUUUGAAAACCGCUGGCUCUUUACUUCAUUGUUUCGUUGGGAUGCUAUGGGCUUCUAAUGCUUGGGGUUAGUUUAAUGCAAUUUCCCACUUGCCCUCAGGAGGCAGUCCUAUUUCAGCAGGUAGGAAAUGAAAUCUGAGCAUCAUGGAUUAACUAGGUUCUAAAUGAUAUCAACAUUAGAGUUGGACACUAUAAAUCGAGGAGGAUAAAUGAUUUCUAACUGCUGGAGCUCAGUUUGUAUUUUUUUUUUUUGUUUUUAAGUGUUACACCUGAGCUAUGGUUAUGGCUGCUAUGAAUCCGAGGAUUCCAUUGCCACAGCAGAGGGUUAACAUUUGAAACAAGAUUAAAGAAGAUGAGAAAUGGAAACUUCAAAGCUGCAACAAGAGGGAGGAACAUAACAUUCGGUUAAUUGCAUGUCAAGUCAUAAUAGUUUAAGGUGGACAUCAGAUACUAAAAGGUUUUCACACUUCAAAUUUCUGCCAGUGUUGUUUUUCUUCUUAUUGGUCAUUUGGUCUGUUCUCUCCUUACUUUAAACAGGAAUCCUUUAUUAUCCAACCAGAUACAGAUGUAUUAUCAACUAUUUUAUUGUUAACGUUAUUACAUAUUAUAGUUUAAAAACUAUUUAUUAUUCAUGAUUGCCACCAUCUUCUUCUUUUCCGUAUAUUCCACUUGUAUAGUCUGAAGUUGCAGAUUAUUCUGUUGUUGUUUUUGGCAUGAACAGCUCAUCUGGCUGAAGUAUUUUUAUUGCGAAUUGGACGGUAACUGUGUGUGGGCACACAUAUCUAAUAUCUCCAUAUUAGAUUGAGUACUACCAACUGAUAAUAUUAUCGCAUUCAGGUUUAAAGCAAAAUACAUAUAGUUUUUUUGUUAUGGAAAUGGAUAUACAAUUUAGUGAGGCAGCUACAAAGGAGGUAUUUGAGAAUCAUAUAUUUUUUUUAAAUGUAUAUAUGUGUGGGCCAUCGGGGGCAAACGUGAAAGUGCACUAAUUUUAACGUUAUUUUACUAAUUUGUGAAAAUAACGUUAAAAGCUUAGAACGGUUAAUCAUGUAUCAUGUGGUGGCGUUGAUAGCUGAAAGACAAAAGGGUACAUGCAUCAUGUGCAUGCUUUGGUAAUGUAACGUAAUUACACUUUCUGGUUAAUUAAUUUGGAGAACCCUAGGAAUUUGGAUACAUAAAUUUUAGAAUUUAUGAUAUAUUAAGCUUAGGCAAAUACGAUGCGACAAACUUUGACUAGAGAUUUUUGCUGGUUAUGUUUAUUCUUUUAUACAUUGAUAUCUAUUUAGAGUUUGUGAAACUUCAUAGUCGUUGCAGAGGACGAUUGUUAUAAACUUAUAAUUUGCUUUCAUGGAUCGUUGUUUGCUUGAUGUAUAAACUUAUAAGAUUAAGUGUUAGGAUCAUGCUUUUGGCAUUGAUUUUUAAUAUGUUUUAUGUAUUUUCAUCUUUGUAAUUUAGUUUUAAAGUUUGGUCCUUCACUAGCGGGUUUAUGAGGGUUCCUCAACUUUCGGUUCGAAGGAAACACAAAAAAGUUGAUACUAGCCUGUGUACACAAGUCUAUGUAAUCGUUCUACCCGAAGCCCUCUAUAUUAAACCUGAACAAGGGGGUUAUGAGGUAUCAUUUAUAUUUCCAUCAUUGAUUCAGCCAACUUAAUUAUUUAUAGUUUUCUAUUUAGCAGCAGUUUAUGCUAAUGGUGUGCUUUCUAUUAUGUUAAUGGUGUGCUUUCUAUUAUGCGUUCCAUGCUCUGUUCUACUUGGUCUUCAUGCUAACCAAUUGUGCACUUUUCUCAAAAGCUUGGAUUGAAGUUCCUGGAUCAUUUGCCCGAGAUGUGGCCAAGCAACUUAAGUGCAUAUCUAAGAAGCUUGCAGAUAUAGUGGUUGUGCAUUGUAUCAGUAGCUUGAGGAUAAAAAAUAUUCAAGGACAAGAAUGGGUUAUGCAUUUGUGGAACAAGCAUGCGGUUGGUAAUUUGAGAGUAAAAAGAUGGUAGAUGAUAUUUGGUGAUAGAAGAGAGACGACGUCUUGAUGAAUUAAGGUUCUGACGUUCCUCCAUUAGGUUCCUUGAAAUGGGAAGGCCAUGGGGACUUACAGAUAAGCUUCAUGUUAGCACCUGGUCCACAGUUUGUACAUGGUAUUAACUAGCAAAAAAAAGGCAUAGAUGUGAUUGGUAAGACUGCAGAAGGAGGUGUAGAUGUGAUUGAAUCGUACGUAUUUUGGAAUGGAUAUGAACCAUCACUAGGCAAGAGUUAAUGAAAAAUAAAAGAUUAAGGAUAUUGUGGAGUACAAACAAGCACAACAGGGGAUUAAUGUGUUCCAUGAUUCCUAAUUGUUUUUUUGUUACAUACAUGUUCCUCACCCGGUCCUUUCGUUUUCUUGUGCAUUGUUCAUCAAUAAGGUAUCAUCAUACCCUCAAGCUUGGUGGAGAUGUGGCCAAGCAACUUAAGAAGCAACAAAUGGUGAUGCUUGGACAUCCAUACUCAACCUUCAGAAGCAACUGAAUCGAUACAUCCCGACUGGUGUUGAUAUAGGACUUUGUUAGAGGUCCUUCUCGACUGAAGAAAAGACGGAAAACCACCAUAGUGUAUUAUCAAGAAGAAACGAAAUGAACUAAAUGACGGCAAAGAAUCAGGUUUGCUCGCAACGGUAGAUUGGACCAUGCUUAGUGAAUGAAGAUGACGCAAUACUUGGUGUUUCCGACUUCAAAUAAACGGGCCAACACGCAAGAGACUUCAGACCAUAUUUUGGCUGAAUUUGACUUUGCGAAGGAAGUUUAGAGGCGAGUUCACAACGGGAUAGAAGUUCCAGCCCCAAUCUCUUUUUAUUCUGCAAAACACAUGUUGAAGCAUGCUUGCAGGGUUGACAGGUCGAAAAGAUUAAAGUAGGUUAUAAAAGCGAUCUUUAUGAAGUCGACGUGCCGAAUAUGGCUCUGUCGGGUUGAGAGGAUAUUCAGCGGUAAAGCUUCUUUAGUGCAGCUGGUAAUGGAAAAGAUUAAGGCUGAAUCCUACUGGUGGGCUGUUAAAAGAGCCAAAAUUAUUGGGCUUGUGUUGGAGAAAUGGAGCAAUUUGGAAAACCUGGGCAGUGUAAAGGGCGGGCGGUGGCUGUGUCUUUUGGCUAGCAAUUGUAUUCUUCUUUUUUUCACUUUUGUUUGGUGUAUGGCUCUCCUACCUUUUAGCCACUUGCGAAAGUAAUUCAUUUGUUAUUGCAUACUACAUGUUUGUAUAUUACUGAGCAACAUAUAUGUGGUUUCUCUUUUUUAUUGUUUUAAACAAAUAAAUGACCAAAACUUAUUUUCUAA